UAGGGAAUCUUCGGCAAUGGGGGCAACCCUGACCGAGCAACGCCGCGUGAGUGAAGAAGGUUUUCGGAUCGUAAAGCUCUGUUGUAAGAGAAGAACGUGUGUGAGAGUGGAAAGUUCACACAGUGACGGUAACUUACCAGAAAGGGACGGCUAACUACGUGCCAGCAGCCGCGGUAAUACGUAGGUCCCGAGCGUUGUCCGGAUUUAUUGGGCGUAAAUCGAGCGCAGGCGGUUUAAUAAGUCUGAAGCUAAAGGCAGUGGCUUAACCAUUGUUCGCUUUGGAAACUGUUAAACUUGAGUGCAGAAGGGGAGAGUGGAAUUCCAUGUGUAGCGGUGAAAUGCGUAGAUAUAUGGAGGAACACCGGUGGCGAAAGCGGCUCUCUGGUCUGUAACUGACGCUGAGGCUCGAAAGCGUGGGGAGCAACCAGG
rnacentral:rRNA from 1 species